rnacentral:rRNA from 1 species
GUGGGGAAUAUUGGACAAUGGGCGCAAGCCUGAUCCAGCCAUGCCGCGUGAGUGAUGAAGGCCCUAGGGUUGUAAAGCUCUUUCAGUGGGGACGAUAAUGACGGUACCCACAGAAGAAGCCCCGGCUAACUUCGUGCCAGCAGCCGCGGUAAUACGAAGGGGGCUAGCGUUGUUCGGAUUUACUGGGCGUAAAGCGCACGUAGGCGGUUUGUUAAGUCAGGGGUGAAAUCCCGGAGCUCAACUCCGGAACUGCCUUUGAUACUGGCAAGCUAGAGUCCGGAAGAGGUAAGUGGAACUCCUAGUGUAGAGGUGGAAUUCGUAGAUAUUAGGAAGAACACCAGUGGCGAAGGCGGCUUACUGGUCCGGAACUGACGCUGAGGUGCGAAAGCGUGGGGAGCAAACAGGAUUAGAUACCCGGGUAGUCC